rnacentral:rRNA from 1 species
UGGGGAAUAUUGGGCAAUGGGCGAAAGCCUGACCCAGCAACGCCGCGUGAAGUAUGAAGGCCUUCGGGUUGUAAACUUCUUUGAUCAGGGAAGAAACAAAUAACGGUACCUGAAAAACAAGCCACGGCUAACUACGUGCCAGCAGCCGCGGUAAUACGUAGGUGGCGAGCGUUAUCCGGAUUUACUGGGUGUAAAGGGCGUGCAGGCGGGCUGAUAAGUCAGAUGUGAAAUCCCCGAGCUUAACUCGGGAACUGCAUCUGAUACUGUUGGUCUUGAGUGCUGGAGAGGAUAGUGGAAUUCCUAGUGUAGCGGUAAAAUGCGCAGAUAUUAGGAGGAACACCAGUGGCGAAGGCGGCUAUCUGGACAGUAACUGACGCUGAGGCGCGAAAGCGUGGGUAGCAAACAGG